UACGUAGGGUGCGAGCGUUAAUCGGAAUUACUGGGCGUAAAGCGUGCGCAGGCGGUUUGUUAAGUCCGAUGUGAAAGCCCCGGGCUCAACCUGGGAACUGCAUUGGAAACUGGCAAGCUCGAGUAUGGCAGAGGGGGGUGGAAUUCCGCGUGUAGCAGUGAAAUGCGUAGAGAUGCGGAGGAACACCGAUGGCGAAGGCAGCCCCCUGGGCCAAUACUGACGCUCAGGCACGAAAGCGUGGGGAGCAAACAGG
rnacentral:rRNA from 1 species